UACGAACUGUGCAAACGUUAUUCGGAUUCACUGGGCUUAAAGGGUGCGUAGGCGGCCAUGUAAGUAGGGUGUGAAAUCCCCCGGCUUAACCGGGGAACUGCGACCUAAACUGUAUGGCUGGAGUGAGAUAGGGGUGUGUGGAACUUCCGGUGGAGCGGUGAAAUGUGUUGAUAUCGGAAGGAACGCCGGUGGCGAAAGCGACACACUGGGUCUCAACUGACGCUGAGGCACGAAAGCCAGGGGAGCGAACGGG
rnacentral:rRNA from 1 species